rnacentral:rRNA from 1 species
CAAUAGCGUAUAUUUAAGUUGUUGCAGUUAAAAAGCUCGUAGUUGGAUUUCGGAUGGGAUUUGCCGGUCCGUCGUUACGAUGUGCACUGGCCAGUCCUAUCUUGUUGUCGGGGACUAGCUCCUUGGAUUCACUUCCUGGGACUAGGAGCUGACGAGGUUACUUUGAGUAAAUUAGAGUGUUCAAAGCAAGCCUACGCUCUGAAUACAUUAGCAUGGAAUAACACGAUAGGACUCUGGCUUAUCUUGUUGGUCUGUGAGACCAGAGUAAUGAUUAAGAGGGACAGUCGGGGACAUUCGUAUUUCAUUGUCAGAGGUGAAAUUCUUGGAUUUAUGAAAGACGAACUUCUGCGAAAGCAUUUGUCAAGGAUGUCUCCAUUAA